UACGUAGGGCCCGAGCGUUGUCCGGAAUUAUUGGGCGUAAAGGGCUCGUAGGCGGUUCGUCACGUCGGGAGUGAAAACUCGGGGCUUAACCCCGAGCCUGCUUCCGAUACGGGCAGACUAGAGGUAGGCAGGGGAGAGCGGAACUCCUGGUGUAGCGGUGGAAUGCGCAGAUAUCAGGAGGAACACCGGUGGCGAAGGCGGGUCUCUGGGCCGAUACUGACGCUGAGGAGCGAAAGCGUGGGGAGCGAACAGG
rnacentral:rRNA from 1 species